rnacentral:rRNA from 1 species
CCUACGGGUCGUAAAGCCCUGUCAGGUGGGAAGAAUGUCCCGGGACUGAACAGGUUCCGGGAGUGACGGUACCACCAGAGGAAGCACCGGCUAACUCCGUGCCAGCAGCCGCGGUAAUACGGAGGGUGCGAGCGUUAUUCGGAAUUACUGGGCGUAAAGCGCGUGUAGGCGGUCCCGCAAGUCUGAUGUGAAAGCCCCGGGCUUAACCCGGGAAGUGCAUUGGAAACUGUGGGACUUGAGUACUGGAGAGGAUGGGGGAAUUCCCGGUGUAGAGGUGAAAGUCGUAGAGAGCGGGAGGAAUAUCAGUGGCGAAGGCGCCCAUCUGGACGGUAACUGACGCUGAGACGCGAAAGCGUGGGGAGCAAACA